rnacentral:rRNA from 1 species
NAGGCACACCCAGGGAACUGAAACAUCUAAGUACCUGGAGGAGAAGAAAACAAAAGUGAUUCCGUCAGUAGCGGCGAGCGAAAGCGGAUUAGCCCAAACCUGAGAGCUUGCUCUCAGGGGUUGUGGGACGUCUCACAUGGAGUAAAAAAGGAGCAGACUAGGCGAAGUGGUCUGGAAAGGCCCGGCAUAGAAGGUAAAAGCCCUGUAGCCGAAAGCCUGCUCCCUCCGAGACGGAUCCCGAGUACCGCGGGACACGUGAAACCCCGUGGGAAUCCGGCAGGACCAUCUGCCAAGGCUAAAUACUUCCUGGCGACCGAUAGUGAAGCAGUACCGUGAGGGAAAGGUGAAAAGCACCGCGGGAGCGGAGUGAAAUAGAACCUGAAACCGUGCGCUUACAAGAAGUCAGAGCCCGAUCUAGGGGUGAUGGCGUGCCUUUUGUAGAAUGAACCGGCGAGUUACGUUUACGUGCGAGGUUAAGCAGGAAAUGUGGAGCCGCAGCGAAAGCGAGUCUGAAUAGGGCGCUUUAGUACGUAGUCGUAGACCCGAAACCGGGUGAUCUACCCCUGUGCAGGGUGAAGGUGAGGUAACACUUACUGGAGGCCCGAACUCGUGAGCGUUGAAAAGCUCUGGGAUGACGUGGGGGUAGGGGAGAAAUUCCAAUCGAACUCGGAGAUAGCUGGUUCUCCCCGAAAUAGCUUUAGGGCUAGCCUCGAGAUUUAGCAUCAUGGAGGUAGAGCACUGAUUGGGUGCGGGGCCCGCCAAGGGUUACCAAGUCCAGUCAAACUCCGAAUGCCAUGGAUGUAUGCUCGGGAGUCAGACGGCGAGUGCUAAGAUCCGUCGUCAAGAGGGAAAGAGCCCAGAUCAUCAGCUAAGGUCCCCAAGUGUGUGUUAAGUGGGAAAGGAUGUGGAGUUGCGAAGACAACCAGGAUGUUGGCUUAGAAGCAGCCACCAUUUAAAGAGUGCGUAAUAGCUCACUGGUCGAGUGACUCUGCGCCGAAAAUGUAACGGGGCUAAACACACCACCGAAGCUAUGGCAUGACACUUAGGUGUCUUGGGUAGGGGAGCGUUGAAUGCGGGUUGAAGUCAGACCGUGAGGACUGGUGGACUGCAUUCAAGUGAGAAUGCCGGUAUGAGUAACGAAAAGACAGGUGAGAAUCCUGUCCGCCGAAAGCCUAAGGGUUCCUGAGGAAGGUUCGUCCGCUCAGGGUAAGUCGGGACCUAAGGCGAGGCCGAAAGGCGUAGUCGAAGGACAACAGGUUGAAAUUCCUGUACCACCGUAAUCCGUUAUGAGCNNNNNNNNNNNNNNNNNNNNNNNNNNNNNNNNNNNNNNNNNNNNNNNNNNNNNNNNNNNNNNNNNNNNNNNNNNNNNNNNNNNNNNNNNNNNNNNNNNNNAUGGGGGGACGCAGGAGGGCAAGAACGCGAGCUGAUGGAAUAGCUCGUCCAAGCAGUAAGGGGUGCAUGUAGGCAAAUCCGCAUGCUUUAACCUUGAGCUGUGAUGGGGAGGGAAAAUUACAGUACCGAAGGUUCCGUGCUCACGCUGCCGAGAAAAGCCUCUAGCCAGGAAAAGGUGCCCGUACCGCAAACCGACACAGGUAGGCGAGAAGAGAAUUCUAAGGCGCGCGGAAGAACUCUCGUUAAGGAACUCGGCAAAAUGACCCCGUAACUUCGGGAGAAGGGGUGCCUCGGUAGGGUGAAUAGCCCGAGGGGGCCGCAGUGAAUAGGCCCAAGCGACUGUUUAGCAAAAACACAGGUCUGUGCGAAGCCGUAAGGCGAAGUAUACGGGCUGACGCCUGCCCGGUGCUGGAAGGUUAAGGGGAGCGGUUAGGGGCAACCCGAAGCUGUGAACCGAAGCCCCAGUAAACGGCGGCCGUAACUAUAACGGUCCUAAGGUAGCGAAAUUCCUUGUCAGGUAAAUUCUGACCCGCACGAAUGGCGUAACGACUUGGGCGCUGUCUCAACGAGAGAUCCGGUGAAAUUUUAGUACCUGUGAAGAUGCAGGUUACCCGCGACGUGACGGAAAGACCCCAUGGAGCUUUACUGUAGCUUGAUAUUGAACUUGGGUACGGUCUGUACAGGAUAGGUGGGAGCCUUGGAAGCAGGAGCGCAAGCUUCUGUGGAGGCGCCGUUGGGAUACCACCCUGAUCGUAUCUAGGUUCUAACCUGUCACCGUGAAUCCGGUGAAGGGACCGUGUCAGGCGGACAGUUUGACUGGGGCGGUCGCCUCCUAAAGCGUAACGGAGGCGCCCCAAGGUUCCCUCAGAAUGGUUGGAAAUCAUUCGAAGAGUGCAAAGGCAUAAGGGAGCUUGACUGCGAGACCUACAAGUCGAGCAGGGACGAAAGUCGGGCUUAGUGAUCCGGUGGUACCGAAUGGAAGGGCCAUCGCUCAACGGAUAAAAGCUACCCUGGGGAUAACAGGCUUAUCUCCCCCAAGAGUCCACAUCGACGGGGAGGUUUGGCACCUCGAUGUCGGCUCAUCGCAUCCUGGGGCUGAAGUAGGUCCCAAGGGUUGGGCUGUUCGCCCAUUAAAGCGGUACGCGAGCUGGGUUCAGAACGUCGUGAGACAGUUCGGUCCCUAUCUGUCGCGGGCGUAGGAAAUUUGAGAGGGGCUGUCCUUAGUACGAGAGGACCGGGAUGGACGCACCGCUGGUGUACCAGUUGUUCCGCCAGGAGCAUCGCUGGGUAGCCAAGUGCGGGAGGGAUAAGCGCUGAAAGCAUCUAAGCGCGAAGCCCGCCUCAAGAUGAGAUUUCCCAGUAUGUAAGACCCCUUGGAGAACACGAGGUUGAUAGGCUCGGGGUGUAAGCUCAGUAAUGGGUGUAGCUGACGAGUACUAAUCGGUCGAGGGCUUAUCC